UACGUAGGGCGCAAGCGUUGUCCGGAAUUAUUGGGCGUAAAGAGCUCGUAGGCGGCUUGUCACGUCGGGGGUGAAAGCCCGGGGCUUAACCCCGGGUCUGCAUCCGAUACGGGCAGGCUAGAGUGUGGUAGGGGAGAUCGGAAUUCCUGGUGUAGCGGUGAAAUGCGCAGAUAUUGGGAAGAACACCUGAGGCGAAGGCGGGUUGCUGGGCCGACACUGACGCUGAUGCGCGAAAGCCAGGGGAGCGAACGGG
rnacentral:rRNA from 1 species